CAGCCGCCACGGGAAUACGUAGGGUGCGAGCGUUAAUCGGAAUUACUGGGCGUAAAGCGUGCGCAGGCGGUUGUGUAAGACAGGUGUGAAAUCCCCGGGCUUAACCUGGGAACUGCGCUUGUGACUGCACAGCUAGAGUAUGGCAGAGGGGGGUGGAAUUCCACGUGUAGCAGUGAAAUGCGUAGAGAUGUGGAGGAAUACCGAUGGCGAAGGCAGCCCCCUGGGCCAAUACUGACGCUCAUGCACGAAAGCGUGGGGAGCAAACAGGAUUAGAUACCCCUGUAGUCCCUGUCUCUUAUAC
rnacentral:rRNA from 1 species